rnacentral:sRNA from 1 species
UUGAAUUUGCUGGAAACUGUAUGGCU